rnacentral:rRNA from 1 species
GAUGAACGCUAGCGGCAGGCCUAACACAUGCAAGUCGAGGGGCAGCACGAAUAAGCUUGCUUAUUUGGUGGCGACCGGCGCACGGGUGCGUAACGCGUAUACAAUUUACCUCAUACAGGGAGAUAGCCCGGAGAAAUUCGGAUUAAUAUCCCAUAAUAUUAUUUGAUCACCUGAUUAGAUAAUUAAAGCUACGGCGGUAUGAGAUGAGUAUGCGUCUGAUUAGCUAGUUGGUGAGGUAAUGGCUCACCAAGGCUACGAUCAGUAGGGGGCCUGAGAGGGUUAUCCCCCANACUGGUACUGAGACACGGACCAGACUCCUACGGGAGGCAGCAGUGAGGAAUAUUGGUCAAUGGAGCAACUCUGAACCAGCCAUGCCGCGUGUAAGGAAGAAUGACCCUAU